GUAGUGGUGGGUCAGUGGUAGAACUCUUGUCUUCCAUGCAGGAGACCCGGGUUCGAUUCCUGGCCAGUGCA
rnacentral:tRNA from 1 species